CCUGGGUGGCUCAGUCAGUUAAGUGUCCAACUCUUGGUUUCAGCUCUGGACAUGAUCUCACUGUUUCGUGGGUUCGAGCCUCAUGUUGGGCUCUGUGCUGGCAGUGCAGAGCCUACUUGGGAUUCUCUGUCUCCCUUUCUCUCUGCCCCUCUCCCACUCGUGCUGUCUCUGUCUCUCUCAGGAUAAAUAAAUAAGCUUAAAAAAAUUUUUUUUAAGUAACAAAGACUUAAGCUGGACGGAAAUCUAUUUCUUACAUGAAAUUAAUCUAGAGGAAAACAACCCAGGCAAUUAGGGAAGGCUCAUAAUAUCAUCAGGGCCCAGUGUAUCCAUGUCUUACCGCUCUGUAUUCUCUGGCAUCUGACUUUCACUUCAGGGUCCCAGCUGACUGCCUGAGCUCCAGCCAUCACAUCAACAUUUCCAAGAAAAAGGAGAAAAGAAGAGCACGCUUCCUUUCUUGAAAGGCACUUCCUGAAUUUAGGAGAACUGCUUACUUACAGGAGCAGACAGGGAGCAGAAGGCUUGAAAGAAGGUCAUCAGAGAAGAAUUGGAGGUCCACUGCAGCGUCCUCCUCAGCAGAGAAACAUGAACUCCUUGAAGGUGUGGUGAGGGAGAGGGAGUGCGCUCAAGAGCCUUCACCAGAGUCUGGAUUGGGGCUUCACUGCUUUCUUGCUCUGGGCUUUUUGGAUAAAUAUUUCCAAGUUUAAGAUAUCAUCCUCUCAGUAACGGAACUUCAAGCAAAACUCGCUCUGGAAGAUAUACAUGAUAAAAGCACCCUGUCAACCACGGACACAUGCCACAGCCAUUUCCCCUUGUGACAGCUCAUAAAAUGCUGCAUAAGAGUUCCUGUGUAAGUACGAGAAAAUACUGAAACAACGUCAAGAGAGUCAAGCAAAAGGCAACUGGUCCCCUGGAUCCAUCUUCAUUGGGUCCCACUGGACAA